CGGGGUGUAGCUCAGCGGCUAGAGCCGGAACUUUGGGGGUUCCGCGUCGUGGGUUCGAAUCCCACCACCCCGACCA
rnacentral:tRNA from 1 species